CAGCCCCCCGCCCGCCGGCCGCAGAGCCCCGGUGCAGACCUGCUCCGCAGGCGGCUAUCUGCACCCGCGAGGGCGUCUGCCCAGACAUCGGGUCUGCCUCCUGCGGAGCCCCCCGCCCUCCGCCGGGCUGCACUGCACGAGGGGGCAUCGGGGCUUGUGUAGGGGACCCCAGACACCGCCUCCUGAGGAGGCUCGACGGCCACUUUAGUGCCAGGGUGCACGUGUGGAAAGGGGCUGGAUCCCAAGGAGCUGUCCCGAGGGUGCUGGCUGGACUGGGAGGAGGACCAGAGAGCAGGGAUCCCUUAAGGAGUGAGGUCCAGGGGAGGACGAGGGAGUGGAGGAGGGCACAGGCCGAAAGUCAAGUCAGGGAAAUCUCACUAGACGGCUGGAGCCCCGCAGCUCCGAGAACAGCGAUGGGGCUCUACCAUAGAAGCCCAGCCAUGAGGAGGAGCGAACUGGGCUCAUUACUAGCCAGGUCACAGCAUGGUGGUUAAAAACGUGCUGAGGGGCCUUUCUCAACAAGGUUCCCCUUUCCCAGAUGCUUGAGAGGCUGCUCUGAAUGAAGGUUAAGUGGGAGCCUGAGGAGGAAGCUGUGUCAGAGGAAAGCCUGCAUGUAUUCAAGCAUGAAGCGUUUUAUAUCUAUCGGAGCCCAGAUGCAUGCUAGGAGCCAGAGCCCAGCAGCCACCCAGUGUUGGCCUCAGAGCCUGGCCCAUCCCAGAGGGAGAGGGUGCCAGGCCUUAUCAGAGAGGCCAAGGCUGGAUUGACCAGAUUUUUCCAGUGCUCACCCGCCCCCUGGUGGUCAUCAUGAGCAUUCCAGGCCUUAGCAAUCUUGAGAAAGAGAUGGCAGAAGAUAGCCUCGGGGCUAGCCUUCUUCUCUAGUGCCCUUCAUUGACUUGUUGGUUUCUGCUGUCAGUGAUCUUACCAUGCAGUGAUGUUCUACGAAUCAACCCCUCAUCUCCAUACCCUGUGACACGCCUCCCUCCCUGGACCCUGCCUGAGGCUCCCACUUACACCAGGCCUGGACUUGAGUUUUCCAGGGAGGACAACUUCUUUGGCCAAAGGUCUCCCAGGAAGACUUUGUCCACUUGUCGUUGGCCACAAAUUCAAGUUAUCCUGUGGGGUUCUUGAGUAGGUUCAAGAAAACUUUAGGGUCUGAACUACGAUCAUGAACCAGAGUGAUACAUAUGAAAUGAACUCAAAACUGCAGAGGAAACAAGAACCCCAG
rnacentral:lncRNA from 1 species